rnacentral:rRNA from 1 species
CGUAGGGUGCGAGCGUUAAUCGGAAUUACUGGGCGUAAAGCGUGCGCAGGCGGUUUUGUAAGCCAGAUGUGAAAUCCCCGGGCUUAACCUGGGAAUGGCAUUUGGGACUGCAAGGCUGGAGUUUGGCAGAGGAGACUGGAAUUCCCGGUGUAGCAGUGAAAUGCGUAGAUAUCGGGAGGAAUACCGAUGGCGAAGGCAGGUCUCUGGGCUAUAACUGACGCUCAUGCACGAAAGCGUGGGGAGCAAACAGGAUUAGAUACCCUGGUAGUCCACGCCCUAAACGAUGUCGACUGGUUGUUGGGGGUUUGACACUCUCAGUAACGAAGCUAACGCGUGAAGUCGACCGCCUGGGGAGUACGGCCGCAAGGUUA